UGUGUAGGCGGGCUAUUAAGUCAGUGGUGAAAUCUCCGAGCUUAACUUGGAAACUGCCAUUGAUACUAUUAGUCUUGAAUGUUGUUGAGGUGGGCGGAAUACAUCAUGUAGCGGUGAAAUGCUUAGAUAUGAUGUAGAACACCGAUUGCGAAGGCAGCUCACUAAACAACGAUUGACGCUGAGGCACGAAAGCGUGGGGAUCAAACA
rnacentral:rRNA from 1 species